rnacentral:rRNA from 1 species
GAUUCAUGAUAACUUCUCGAAUCGCACGGCCUUGCGCCGGCGAUGGUUCAUUCAAAUUUCUGCCCUAUCAACUUUCGACGGCUGGGUCUUGGCCAGCCGUGGUGACAACGGGUAACGGAGGGUUAGGGCUCGACCCCGGAGAAAACGCCUGAGAAACGGCGUUUACAUCCAAGGAAGGCAGCAGGCGCGCAAAUUACCCAAUGCCGACACGGCGAGGUAGUGACGAGAAAUACUGAUACAGGGCUCUUUUGGGUCUUGUAAUUGGAAUGAGUACAAUUUAAAUCCCUUAACGAGGAACAAUUGGAGGGCAAGUCUGGUGCCAGCAGCCGCGGUAAUUCCAGCUCCAAUAGCGUAUAUUAAAGUUGUUGCAGUUAAAAAGCUCGUAGUUGAACCUUGGGCCUGGCUGGCCGGUCCGCCUCACCGCGUGCACUGGUCCGGCCGGGCCUUUCCCUCUGGGGAACCCCAUGCCCUUCACUGGGCGUGGCGGGGAACCAGGACUUUUAC